GGUACAGUGUGUACAUGAAUGUACAGGUACAGUGUUUACAUGAACAAGUACAGUGUUUAUAUGAACAGGUGCAGUGUUUAUAUGAACAGGUACAGUGUUUAUAUGAACAGGUACAGUGUGUACAUGAAUGUACAGGUACAGUGUUUAUAUGAACAGGUGCAGUGUUUAUAUGAACAGGUACAGUGUUUAUAUGAACAGGUACAGUGUUUACAUGAACAGGUACAGUGUGUAUAUGAACAGGUACAGUGUUUACAUGAACAUGUACAGUGUGUAUAUGAUCAGGUACAGUGUGCAUAUGAACAGGUACAGCAUGUAUAUGAACAGGUACAGUGUAUACAUUAACAGGUACAGUGUGUAUAUGAACAGGUACAGUGUGUAGAUGAACAGGUACAGUGUUAACAUGAACAGGUACAGUGUGUAGAUGAAAAAGUACAGUGUGUAUAUGAACAGGUACAGUGUUUACAUGAACAGGUACAGUGUUUACAUGGACAGGUACAGUAUUUACAUGAACAGGUACAGUGUGUAUAUGAACAGGUACAGUGUUUACAUCAACAUGUACAGUGUGUAUAUGAACAGGUACAGUGUGUAUAUGAACAGGUACAGUGUGUAUAUGAUCAGGUACAGUGUUUACAUGAACAUGUACAGUGUGUAUAUGAACAGGUACAGUGUGUAUAUGAUCAGGUACAGUGUAUAGAUGAAAAGGUACAGUGUGUACAUAAACAGGUACAGUGUGUAUAUGAACAGGUACAGUGUGUAUAUGAACAGUUACAGUGUGUAUAUGAACAGGUACAGUCUGUUUUUGAACAAGUGCAGUGUGCAUAUGAACAGGUACAGUGUUUACAUGAACAAGUGCAGUGUGCAUAUGAACAGGUACAGUGUUUACAUGAACAAGUGCAGUGUGCAUAUGAACAGGUACAGUGUUUACAUGAACAGGUACAGUGUGUAUAUGAACAGGUACAGUGUUUACAUGAACGGGUACAGUGUAUAUAUGAACAGGUACAGUGUUUACAUGAACAGGUACAGUGUGCAUAUGAACAGGUACAGUGUGUAUAUGAAAAAGUGCAGUGUGUAUAUGAACAAGUGCAGUGUGUAUAUGAACAGGUACAGUGUGCAUAUGAACAGGUACAGUGUUUACAUGAACAGGUACAGUGUGUAUAUGAACAGGUACAGUGUGCAUAUGAACAGGUACAGUGUUUACAUGAACAGGUACAGUGUCAGAAAAAAGGGUAUGGUUGAAUAUUGUUUUUGUGGCCAUUUCGGGUACAACUGCUGUGGUUGUACCCUCAAUGGGUCAUAGUUACACCUUAAGGAACUAUGUACAGUUUAGGGGUAAAUAAGGUACAAAUAUGUUUCCAAAUGUCAAAGGGUCCCUGCCUGUACCAUUUAAUCCCCAAACAAAGGUACAAUCACUUGUGUGACCAAAACAUUGAGGAGGAUGGGUAGUUUAAGGUUUUUAAACCCUGCAAGUGCAUACAAUAUUUGCACCUAAGCGUUAUUUCCCAAUAUAGUAGACAGUUAUUUUAUACUUAGGCUACACAGAGUUUUACACAGCAAUCUCAAUUAUUCAAUGAACAGAUAGGGCCAGAUUACAAGUGAAGCGCUAAUAUAUUGUGCGCCCACAAAUGGGCAAAUUCACAUUACAAGUGGCUGGGUAUUGCUAACGUGAGCUCACAAUAGCAAUUAGUGCUCUUUGAUGCACUUCGAUGGAAAUUGCUUCUUGGAAAGUAUGCUAUAAACAUUAUGUGCAUAGUAUAUUAAAUGCUCAUACGUGAGUGGAUGCUGUGACCUCACUAUCAUGAACUGAACCAGCACUUACAAACUUGAGCUUGCGUUGUGAGGUUUUGGGGGCGUAUUAAGGCAUGGUGGGAUAGUGUGUUUGUUCAGCCCUUCCAUACGGGCGACCCAUAAUGGAGUAGAAAGCACGGUGGAAUGAAAGUUAAAUUUAUAAAAUAUUUAUUUUGCCAGCAUAAUACAUUUUUGCUAUGAAGGUCUGUUUAGAAAUUCAUUGCUAAUGAGUUGUAUUACAUUAAGGCAAUUUGUGUGCACACUGGUCCUUUAACAAACCAUAUCUUCACUGACGCUGUGUCGCUGGUUCUACAUAUGUUUAUAUUUAGAGCAUCAAGAUGAUGACUUUUACACAUAAAGCAAAUGUAUUAACUUAAAUUACAUUGCUUAUAUUGAGUUGAUCACCUGUAAUUAUUUCCAUUUGAAAGAUUAUUCUAUACAUUUGUCCCUUUAAAGGAACAGUAUACUAUAAAAUGGUUUUUCCCUUAAUGUGUUUCCAAUUACUUUUUUUACCAGCUGCAGAGUAUAAAAUUAUGAGAUUUGCUUUUUUAAGGCUUAUUUGUGUAUAUGAAUUAGCUGAUUUUGUGUUUUGAAGCCACAACCUAAUAAAAUGGGUUGAGCUUGUAGGUAUAAUCAGAUCUCAUUACUUUAUCACAUUGUGUAGAUAUACAUGCUUCUUUAUCUUAUAUCUGUCCAUAAACAAUAGAAAAUUAACAUUUUAUUAGCUUAUCUCUUCUAUAACCCACUGGCAGUGUAAUUUCUUCUACUGGCUGUGUUAACACAGCUUGGCCUCGUGGCCAAAAACUUUCAGGAUGGGUGGGGAUACCACAGGCUAAAUAAACUAAUUCAAAUGCCAAUAUAAGGUUAAUGGAAAUACUUGUAAACAAUUUAAUACACUCCAGCAGGUAACGUGGAUCAUUGGGAACAAAUUUAAGGGGAGACAUUUUUUGAGUAAACUGUCCCUUUAAUGAGUGAGUGGGAUUCCUAAAUAUUACAUCAUAGUAUAUUACAGGUGUAGUAAGUAGAUUAAGAGUUAAACAUACUAGCCAGUAAAGAACAAAUGAAUAGUAUCACCUGUAAACCAUUAAAAAGCAUUCAAAUUAUUUUUUUCAGAAACAAUUCACCCCGUCCUUAACAUUCUGAUUAAAGAUGUCAUGUGACCAAAA